GAUCCUGAACAGAACAUCCAUUGUCUGGGAUGGCCCCACAGACUACCUAUGGACUACUGAAAUCUUUUCCUGGGCCUCCAGUUUCUGACUUCAAGCAAGCUGGAGAGGAGAAGAAGGGAAACUAGAAAAGCUGUAGCAGCACCUGGAUGAGCACACAGCUUGCCCAGCUUUCAAAGCAAAGAUCUACUGCCUGAGAGCUCCAUUGUCAUGGAAGACGAAACUCAGGAGGCAAAAUGGAAAGCAGCAACACCCAAAAAGGACUGUGAAGCACCAGCCUUUCUCUUCACCUGCCUUGAGACUUGAAGGAGCAGAGGUUGCUGCUUUUACUGACAUUGAGCUUCUCAAAAGG